rnacentral:lncRNA from 1 species
GUACAUGACGUUAGAAAAUAGCAUUUUGAACCCCUCCCAACCCAGUGAGAUUUAGACGUCAUGCGACAGACUUGUCUUUUAAAGAUGACAAUCAUAAUACUUGUAUUGAAACUAGAGAGAGAUUGCCAAGGCACCUCAAAAUAGACAUGAAAGCAUUCUUAACACCAUGAGAAAAAGUAAUAAAUGGUUUCGUCAGAACUGGGUAGUCAAAUCUUUGGGAGGGCCAAAAUCACCCAUCGGCAGGUCAAAAAACAAGGAAAAGUUUUAGGAUACAAAUUACACAUGAUAACUGACAACACAUAUCUUAGUUGUAAAUUCUUGUCAAUGGCUCGACAGACAACAUACGUGCACCUUAGGCUUUCAAGUUUUGUAACCAGUGAUACUAACCUUCAUUUGAAACUGAAUCCACCAGAAGGCACCGAGACGUCUCCCCCUCCAAACUGGAAGCCUUGUUGGGAGGCAUCUCCUGGGACUGCCUCUUCGUCAUCUUCCUCUAACCAAUACGUCUCUAAAAUCUUCACUGCCUUCUCGUAAAUCUCAUUAUUAUCGUGACUCUGCAGGUUCUCAAUUUUUUCCAGCCCUUCAGCAUCGUCAAUCAUCUGAGCAAAAAGGUUGAUGUCUCCUGUAUGUCCCAAGAUCUUCUCAGUUUCCCCUAUCUUCAAAAUGUUUUCAAGUCCUUCCAAACAAACUGUGACGAUUCUUGGAUCUGGGCAGACAAGCAGAUCACAUAGCGGCUUAAUACACUGUUGGCUCACAAGGUACCUGUGAGCAAAACCAAAAACAAGUGCUGUUACGAACAAGUAAAAUACUAAUGCAUCUUGAAAUAUUAAGAUACUAAGGGAAAAUUGACUACACACUUAAUUUGUUCGUGAGUGCCACCAGAUGUUGCAUUUGAUAUUGCCCAGGCAGCCUCCUUUUUCACAUCAAAUUCUGCAUUUAGAAGCAACUGAACCAGAGGGCUGAUAAUGCCGGUCUCAAUCACAGCCUGCAGAGUAACAAAAAUGUGUCACCCACAGCUCAGGGUUGAUAUUAAGAACAAGAAACAACACACAAGGACUCCUUUUCUGUUCCCUUUGAAUUUGAAGUCAGCCACAUGAAUCCAGAAAAGGUUUCGCAGAAGCAUAAACAAAUCAAAUUGAUAUAUUUCUCAAUACAAAGUCUGAAAGCUAGAAUCAAAUUUACCUGGAUUUGCUCCUUAUUUCCAGCUGUGAUGUUUGAAAUAGUCCAGCAAGCUUCCUUUUUAAUGCUCUUCUUAUGGCUACCAUUCAAGAGGUUCAGAAGACAUGGUAGUGCAUUGUAGCUGAUGAUAUACUGUAAAAAUACAAGACUGCUCAACCAUUGCAGGCUACAACCAAUCAAAAUUACUGUGCGCAAUGAUCUACAAGGAUCAGCUGGGACUUGACAAGAAAACAAAAUUUCAAGCAGAAAGCAGGCACACUACAGGACAUGACAUUGUCAUUUGAGUGCAUAUCAUAUGAACUGCAAUUCAACAGAAGUAUAACUUUUGCACAGAAGGACCUUUUAUAGUUUUAUAACAAAACAAAACUAUUGAUGCGGCUAAAGUUCAUCUUAUAUAAGGAGCAUUACUGAUUGGAACAAUUGAACAACUAAAUGCCUAGUUUCCUGAUGCCCUUGGCCAAAUUUCAAACAUCAAUAAAUUUCACCGCUCCAGAAUUCCUCCUCAUUAGCAAAUAACUACUCCACUUUUAAAAUUGAUUAGUUUUUCCCCCAAUAUUCCAAACAAAUUACUAUACCCUAAAAAGUCUCUUCUAACAAAAAAUAACCUUGCCACUACCCUUCAAUGCUCUUGCUGUUGUCAUUGUCACCUCCGCAAGUACCAUCACAUCACGUGCACUGCUACCUAAAAAUUCGAGUUUUGUUCGUGCCUACCAAAAAAUAACUACACUGAACUUGCUAACACUACAUGCUAAUCAAUAGCAACAAGAAAGAAGGUUGUGCUCCUCUUUAAUUGUGUUCAGAGUUCAAACAAUCCCAAACUUCUUUCUCUUAGUUUAUCCCCUAAAGCUGUAAUCAUUUUGUCUCGCAACUUGUUUUAUCAAGCUACCUUAUCUUCUUCAAUUACCAUUCCGUAGUUACUCUCUUUCUCGUGAAAUGAUACAGGCAUCCACCAGCAGCUUACCACAUAAUAUGUUUAGAAGCUUACAAGCACGACCAAACAGUAACACUGCCUCAUGAAUACAGAUUUGUUUAGGAAGUUGUUUCAUGAAAUUCAGGAUUUCCAGCUUUCCUUCUAAAGCUGUAAUCCUUCCAACAUAGAAAACCAACCAAUUUUCUACACAUUAGAUUCGAAAACUGUUUCAAUAUCCAUGGCAAUGCAUUUUUUUAGUUGAAACUCAAAUAUGUUGAAUAACUAUACCCAGAAAGUAUUCAAAAGUCAGCACUUUUCACCCUGCUUGUGAGAAUUCAGACACAAACCCAAAAGCAAAGAACAACAAAAAGCAAGAUCAGACAAUCAAUGUAAGAUGCAGGGUAUGAACGGUCUUCCGCACCAUAGUCCUUAUCGAGGGCUAUUAGAAGAUCGACCUCUAUAAUUAAUGUGUUCAUAACUUAAUGCCUAGUAAACACAAUAUUAUAUAUAUUGUUCUGAUUCUCUUUAACAGAACUUUUGCUUUAUAUAUUGUUUUAUUUCUGUUCGAUUUAUAUUUUUUCUCAUAAAUUGUUUGUUUUGCUCCAACAAAAAUAAUCUUCACACUACUUUUUAUGACGAGUUCCAGCAUUUUUCAAACAGAAACCCCACAAGGGGAGAUCAAAAUGAUUGGAAUGGAUUGUACCUGAGUUUGUAUAUCAUCUCCAGUGACAAUGUUCCCAACUGUCCGAAGGGCAGGGAUAAGAACAGAAGGAGACGGGUGACUGAAACAGCACAAUCACUUUCGUGAGAUGCAAGCUAAAGAAAAAGUUAAACUUCUGUAUGAAGAAAAUCGAUCCAAACACUAAAUAUAAAUAAAACAAAAAUACUCACAGCAACAACUCAACUAAACGAGGACAUACUCCAGAGUCAAUCACAGCUUGGAUUUUAUCAUUUGUGCCAUCAGAAAGAUAUGAUAGUGCCCAACAAGCAUCAGUCAAAACUUCUUCAUCACUCGAGUGUAUAAGCUGCUGAAGAAUUGGAAGAGCAGGUCUUGUCUGUAAAAUUAAGAUCACAUCGUCACCACGCAUGCUCUCUGUCAGGGUUCAUGACCAAAAUUUCGAUCUUUAGAACAGAAAAUUUAAUAUACAUUUGGAUCUCACAAACAGAGUUCACCGUUUGACCAUGGAAUUAUAUAGGUAUAGCAUAAGUUGUCAAACUGUGCACCAAUUCAAAGUAGAAUCCAUGGCUCAAAAUCAAGAGUAAAAAAAGAAAAAAUCUGACAAAACCAUAUCUGUGAAUAAAACGCAUAAAUUUAAUGAAUAAUCUUAUGGUAGUGGCCACACUACCACCUAGACAGGUGCUAAACACCAAUGGUGCCACUACCACCUAGACAGGUGCUAAACACCAAUGGUGCCACUACCACCUAGACAGGUGCUAAACACCAAUGGUGCCACUACCACCUAGACAGGUGCUAAACACCAAUGGUGCCACUACCACCUAGACAGGUGCUAAACACCAAUGGUGCCACUACCACCUAGACAGGUGCUAAACACCAAUGGUGCCACUACCACCUGUCUAUAACAUAUAUACCUGUUCUCGGACAUCGUCACUUGCAGAACCAAGAAGUUUCACAAAAAUUGGGACAGCUCCAUGAUCAAUAACCACCUUAGUGUGCUCAGAUGUCCCAGAAGCAAUAUUUGUGAGGGCCCAAGCUGCUUCAAACUAGAGAAAUUUUAAACAAACAAGAGGUCAGUAAGUAUUGGAGAACCCUAAUGAGCUGGCAAAAAAUACAUUAGUGACGAAUAAGAUGGUAUUAUUAGACCUGAAGCUGUGGAACAUCUUCCCUCGUGAGAAAUUCAACUAAGCGAGGAACAACACCAGCUUGAAUGACCUCCUGGAUUGGAGGACUCCGUUCUGGCAUAGAGCAUUAAUUGCAGAACAAUAUGAAUUUCAAUAACUAAGACGACAGGAAAAGAAAAGUUGAAUUAUAACAAGUUCUGGAAGACCCAAUGGUAACCUAUAGAAAGCAAUUUUCGAAAUUGGGUAGUCGCCUCUAGCUGUCUACUAGAAUCAUCUGUCCAGACAGCGGCAACCAUUCCCGGCAAAUUUUCUAACUGCACCUACACUCACAAAAUACAUCAACACCAGAAGCUCAGUCUUGUGUCUCUGGAAAAUACGUUUACCUCAUUUUAUAAUAAAAUUUCCAUUUCAAGCAUCAAACAAAUUACUCAACAAAUUAAAAUCAUCGAUGCACACAAAUUGAGAUUAGAAACCAUUAAAAGAAAUGAAGAGCAACAUAAAUCCUAUAAACCAUGAAAGUUACAAUAAAGUACCCAAUGAAACUGCAAAACCCUAGCAUCCAUUGACCACCCAUAAAAUUUAUUAACCAUUCAAUUCCAAUAAUCGGAUCACAAAAAAUAUAACAAAAAUGAAUCCAUAAAAUUUAAAUCGACGACAAAUCAUCAAUUUCAAAGUAGUUUUGAACCGAUAUACCUUUUUAUCGAUGCCAGUGGUGGCUUCGACAGGAAUAGGGAACUGCUGGUUUCCUUGGAGUCCUUCACGACGCUUCUUCUGUAGGCUUUCCUCUCUCCGGUUCUUGCGUAUCUCCACCAUGUUGUCCUCUCUCCUCCGCCGUCCCUCCUCCGCAUCGACCGCCACCUUGUACCUGUUGCGGCGGACCUCCACCUUGGCGUUGGGCCUCAGUGACAUCUUGAGCCUGUAUAUAUGGGUAGAAAAGCGAGAAUGUAAAUCUGUGAAUUUGGGGAAAAUGAAUGGCGGAGGAGGGUUUUGCUAGUAAGUUCAAUUUGAAUGGGGAGUGGAGUGAAGGGCGUCACAUUGAAAGGAGGUUUUAUAUAGGGGUUUUGUGGUGCGUUGAGUUAGGAAAUGGGGCAUGGAUCAACAAAUAUUUACGAAAAUGGGACUCUAGUUCGAAUUUGAAGAUGAGGGAAAACCCGAAUUGCAAUAACGGAUUAAACUGGACUCAAGUAUCUAUACUGGGCUCUCAGAGCUUAAUCGUAUUAAAGUCCAGGCCCGAUUUUCUUUGGGCCCGAAUGGACAUACUUAGGCUCAUUAGGUCAACAUUUUCUAAAGAGAAAAUUUCAUAUAUAAAAAAUUAGGGACCUAUUUGGUAGUUAUUCAUAUAAUCAAUUUUUUGAUCGUUAUAGAGAAAACUGAUCCACCUGUGAGUGAAGAAAUCAAAAGUGACGGUUCACCAUUUUAGAAAAAAGGGUCAAAAAAUAAUUUUUUUGGCUUGAAAAAUCAGAACUAAAUAGGGUCUAAGUAUGACCAAUUUUAAAACUAAAAGAUAAGGUUUAGAACUUCCAAAAUAAAAUAUUAAUUAAAUUUUAUUUAUGAAAUAAUUAAUUAAAUAUAUUAAGGUCACAAUAUUACACUAUUUGUUCACAAAUUAUCUAAUUAAUUGAUCACAAAUUAUUUUUUGAUCACGAAUAAAAAAUUUUGUAGAUCACAAAUUAUUUCACGAUUAUAAAUCAAAAAUUUUAUAAGUUACAAUUUAUUUAUCGAUCACAAAUCAAGACAUUUAUAGGUCACAAUUUAUUUUAUCGACCACAAAUUUUAUAAGUCAAUACUAAAAUUUUUAGGUUACAUAUUAUUUAUUAAUCACAAAUUAUUGAUCACAUAUUAUUUAUUAGUCACAAUAUCAAAUAAUUGAUCACAUAUCAUUUAUUAAUUACAAAUUAAUCAAUUUAUUGGUUACAAUCAAUCAAAUAAUUAGUCACAAACACUACGACACAAUGUAAAAAAUAAUAUAAAAGAUAUUAUACAUGUAGCAUGAUUGUGAAAUCUAAAGGAAUAAAUGAAUUUUAUCUUUAAUCAAUUUAAGCCCCCGUUUGAUCUUCAUUAUAUUAAAUUCUAUUACAUUUCAUUUUUCUCUCUUCUAUUUUCAACCACACAAUCUUCCAUAAAAUAAUAUUAUACGUAAAUUAAAAACUUUUCAUUCUUUUUCAACCAAUCAUUUUUCAAAAAAGCACUAUUCCCCUCAUUAAUUUUUCUACGUAAUGGGAAUCCAACAGGGGCUAAAUUCCUUUCCUCCAAUAAUUUUAUUGAUUAAAUCCACGCCAUAUAUGUCACCACAGUAUGAUUGAUUGACAAAAUACAGAGCUAAUUUCAUUACAAGCAUAGGCAAUGUAAAUAACAAACAAAACUCAAGGUCUUAUCAUAUGAACAGUGAGGCAUUAAUAGUAAUAUUCUUCUUUUUAUCAGGAAGAUUAAUUAAUUAAUAUCCUGCAUAUCAUCAUACCACUUCCACUUGAUUCCUGAGUGAAGCAAUGCUGUUGUCUGAAAAUUGCUACUCUUGAGGUGCCGCACAAAAACCCUACUUUUUUCUUUUUGACAAAAUUCCAUAAACUUUAUUUAGGGUUUCUAUUUUCUUCUAUUUAGGAUAAGAUUAAGCCAUGUUUGAAGUCUAUUAUUUUAAAUUAUAAUGAAUGAGAUAGUAAUUUUUUGAAGAAUGUAUGAUUAAAUAUAAAAGAAAAACUUUUAAAUUUACGUGUAAUAUUAUUUUAUUAAGAAAUGCGUGAUUAAUAAGAAAAUAGAGAAAAAAUAAAUUUUAAUUUAAUGGGGGUCAUAUAAGAGCUUAAAUUUGAAUAUCACAAAAACAUCUGGAUUACUUUGAGUCCUAUAUAAUCUAAAAGAAUAACGUUAUCUAUCCAUUCAAAUUGUACAAAUAGUGUUACAGAUACACGUGGCAUGCAUUCAUCGAGCGAUUUGAAUUGCAAAAAUUCAACUCGGCCUACAAAUUUGUUAAGCUACAUCUACAGUUUAAUUGUUUAGGUAGCACGGUCCAAUCUAAAAUACCCUUGCAAAAUAAAAAAUAAAAAAAAAUGAUAACAUUUUCUAAAAUUAGUUGUAACCUAACCGUUUGACAGUCAUUUUUUGGAAAAAUUGAUUUUUUGAAUAGUAAAUUUUUUGGAGAAUGUGUGAUUAAAAAUAAAGAAAUAUUUUGAAUUUACUUGAAAAAUAUUUUAUUGAAAUAUAUAUGAUUAAAAAUAAGUAUGAGAAAAAAUUUGGAAAAAUGACGACUAAAUAGAGACUUAAUUUGAUCGACGUAAAAUAUAAGAAGAUAAAUAAAUAUCUAACAUAUAGAGCUCGUUCGACAUAUUUUAAAUUUUAAUCUUAAAACUUUACUUAUUCUACAUAUACAUUCCAAAAAUAUCAACUUAUUUUUAGAUUAUAUAUUGCUUACAGUGACAAGAGUGGCAGAGGAGGUAGCUAAUAUUUUUGUAUCUUGGGAAUGUGCCUUCGAUAUUGUCAAAAUGGUGACAAAGUUUCUCUGAUAUUGUCUCUAAAACUAUUAAAUUAUACCCUAAUUUUUGCCAUUUAAGAAUUUUGACACCACUAUGAUGUUUUAAAAAUUAUGACCCUUGUACUAAUUUAUCUACUAUUGUACCCAAUUUAGUGUACCAGACGCACACUUAUAGUCCAUUUAGAAAAGUGGCCAUUAGGUUGAGUUUUCUUCGUGACUUAGUCGAUCGACCUCAAAUAUUUAACAUUCAAUUCAUUUAGCAUUUGUCGCUCUUCUCUAUAUAGCAGCUUUAUCUUUUACAUGUCAAUUCAUUAUUAAUCUUUCGUCAUUGAUUUCUCGUAAUGGAUUUUACGAAAUAAGACUUUCCCGAUAAAUUUUCAGCUUUGAACUUCUUCCACAUCAUAGUAAUGCUACCUAUCAUCUAUUCAAAUUGGUCAAUGGUCAUGCCCUUUUAAGCACCUCCAAUGUCUAUUGAUUUUCAUUGGCGGUAUACCAAUUAAAAGAGUUUAUGUCAAUGUGGCAUUGAAUAAACAAUCAACCUUACUUGAUUUCCAGUCAGUUCUAUCUACAAUUCAAUAUUGAUGCAUAGAUAUCUUAUUUUCUUAAAAUAAAAACAAACUGCGUGAUUCUUUAUAUAGCAGCUUUAUCUUUUGUCUUUUACACGUCAUUCAUCAUUAGUUUUUUAUCACAGAUUUCACCCCCUAGAGCAUAGCCUACUGGAUGACAAAAGUGAGGUAGUCUCAGCCUUGUUGGCAUCUGCAGUGUGAGAGUUUAAUUCCUGAUAUAUGGAAUUAGACUCUUUGUGGGCACUAUUGUACAGAUAAGCUACUAUUCUCUGACCUGUUGGAGCACAACCCGCAAUUUACCUCAUUCACGAUGUUUCAGGAACAGGACAGUGAAAACCCUCAAAAUUAGGGUGCAACCUUUUUUUUUUUAUCUCUGAUUUCUCAUAAUAGAUUUUUCGAGACAAGACUUUCACAGUAAGUUUUCGGCUUCUAACUUCUUCAACAUCAUAGCAAUGCCACCUAUCAUCAACUUGAAUUGGUCACGCCCUUUUAAGCAUCUCCAAAUGUCAAUUGAUUUUCAUGAGCGGGAUACCAAUUAAAGGUUUAUGUCAAUGUGGCAUGGAAUAAACAAUCAAGCCUAAAUUGGUUUCCAAUCAGCUCUAUCUACAAUUCAAUAUUGACACGUAGAUGUCUUACUUAUUGAAGAAAUUUUGAGAGCAUCAAUUAUUAUAUUUGUUAUCAUAUAAAUUCGAGCUUUUAAAGUCUCGAAUAAUCUCAAUCAAUAAAGAAGUUUGGUGCUCCUAACCUAUUGUUAAGCACCACUCCUAAACCUUACAUGUAAUCUGGAAAAAACCAAAUUUUGACAUAAUUAGUGGCAGAAAGUGAUGGAGAUGGUAGAAAAUAGUGUCACGUAAGUUUGGAAAGGGAGUAACACCAAUUACGAUUACCUCAUCAAGAAUAAGGCAACACGUUACUCUUUGAUUUUUAUGGUAGUUCUGCUUGAUUUUCUUUUUUCUUUUCCUCUUUACUUGUUUCAGACCUCAUUGGUGGUAGUGAGAAGUGAUCGUUCGAAAACAGUGCAAGACAGUAUAUUGUAUAAUAAUUAUACAUAAGUUACCUUGUAAGAGUACUAGUGUUAUCUAAAAUGAGGUACAUGACGUUAGAAAAUAGCAUUUUGAACCCCUCCCAACCCAGUGAGAUUUAGACGUCAUGCGACAGACUUGUCUUUUAAAGAUGACAAUCAUAAUACUUGUAUUGAAACUAGAGAGAGAUUGCCAAGGCACCUCAAAAUAGACAUGAAAGCAUUCUUAACACCAUGAGAAAAAGUAAUAAAUGGUUUCGUCAGAACUGGGUAGUCAAAUCUUUGGGAGGGCCAAAAUCACCCAUCGGCAGGUCAAAAAACAAGGAAAAGUUUUAGGAUACAAAUUACACAUGAUAACUGACAACACAUAUCUUAGUUGUAAAUUCUUGUCAAUGGCUCGACAGACAACAUACGUGCACCUUAGGCUUUCAAG